ensembl:lncRNA
GUGCGCCUGGGGCGGAAGACGGUGCCUCAGUGCCUCUCUCCUUCUGACAUUGUUAAAAAAAACCAACAAAUUUAUAAUUAUUUAUAUUUUUAUAUGUAGGUAAUGUCCUCAAGUUCUUGAUAACCACUUUUUCCUCUCUCUCUGUUUGUGUGUAUUGUUUUGUCUCUUUCAAACAGGUGCCGGUCCUCACCUCUGCAGUGCUGCUGUCUCCUGUAACGCUGCAUGGUCCUAAGCUACGUUUUCUUUCUUUUUUUUUUGUUCUUGUAAUUUUUGUCCUCAGGUGAGGUUUGAAGUGUCUGUGUUGUGCAGCUGGUCUGGUCUGUCUCUAGACAGUCCAGGCUGUACCCAUCAGUAAAUGGUGGAGGCUCACAAGGACAACACACAAUUUUCUGAACAACUCUGCGGGAGGGUUUCUCCGACGAAGUGAAGGCCGUGA